rnacentral:lncRNA from 1 species
AAAAAAGGCAGAGAUAGAUGGUAGAAAUGUCACGCCUUAGGAGGGCCUGUAGUUUAAAUGUGAUCCCAAAGGGCAGUGCUAACUAGAAUGCUGGUGCCCCACCCACCCCUUUCUACUUAGCUGAAUUGCUGAGGCUGACCUUGUACUUUUGAUCCUCUUGCCUUGGCCUCCCAAAUUGCUGGGAUUUGUGUAUGUGAGGGUCUACUUAGUUGGUGAGCUCCAGUAGGGUUGGGACCCUGUCUUUAGGUUGCACUUAUCAAGCUCUUCAUGGCCUAGCACAAAUUAUUAUAGUAAUAGCCAACAUUUACAGAGUGCUUUGUGUUUACUGGCCCAAACAACUCUGAGAUGGGGGUUUGUAAUUUGCAUUUGACAUCUGAGGAAACUGGCUGAGGUUAAGUUGCACACCCAAGGUCACAGUAAGGGCUUGGAUUUGAGUUCUGGUAUCCUGCAGAACCUGAGUUUUGAACCAUUAGUUCAGCAGUGAGUAGGUCCAGGGCCAUUAGCAGCACCCACUCCAUGGCUAAUGCACCUAGGCUCUGAACUUUUCAUAGAUUCUUGCUUCUUGCCUUUGUCCCCAAGGUCUUGAGAGAAGGGGUAGGUACACAGAGAAUGUUGGCUUGCCUUUGCUGCCUGGCAGUAGUAGUAAUACAUUUCUCCACCCUUUUCAGUGCUGUGCAGUCCAAGGUAGUUACAUGUAGAGUGUUGGAUGCACGCUCAGCUAAACUGGGUUGGAAGUUCAGCUAAACUGAGCUUCACAGAACUCACCAUGUCCACACAAUCAGGUAUGAUUCACAGCCAUUGAAGUAUACUGGCCAUGCUUCAACAGUGGGGAAGACAGUGGUGCUCAUAGCACAUGUAGGAAGUCCUUUUGCUAGCCACUCAACUUUCCCUAUUCUCUCAGCCACUGUCCUGAUGCCAGUUCCAAUGACCAUCCAGAGCCACCACACUGGUAGCCUUGUUGGCCUUAGCAUAUGAAGAGCUGGGAAUCCUCCCCUCUAUGUGGACAGGUAGGGUCCUCUUAGGACUGCAGGUUAAUAGUGGUUAAACACCCCUAGGUUCAAUCCCUGGUAAUAUGCUCCCCGCCCUCAAAAACAAACAAACAAACAAAAAAAAAACAGACUUUUUUGAAAAUAUCUGGAAUAGAACUAAUCUGUCCUACAUAGGCAGUGAAUGUUUGUGAGGGAUCAUGAAAACCAAGGUCCCUGGCCCAGUUUUGGAGAACAGUAACCCAAGCCUUCAUGAAUUUCUUCCUGAGUAGUCAGCCACUUAGGGCAGGGUUCUGGGCAUCCACCCAAGCAAGGGCCAGGUACAGUGGUCAUAUUCUAAGAAGCACUUGAAGUCCAAGGGAAAAUAAACCCUAUCCUGGGCCAGGGACAUCCCCUUAGCCUUCAUCCAUCCCUCAGAAACAUUCACUGUCUAUGUAGGACAGAUUAGUUCUAUUCCAGACAUUUUCAAAGAAGUCUUUUUUUUUUUUUUGGAGGUGGGGGGCACGUUACUAGGAAAAGGGAUUGAACCUAGGGGUGCUUAACUAUUAUGCCACAUCUUUUGUAAGCCACAUGUUUAAUAUUUUAUUUAGAGAGAAGGUCUCACUGAGUUGCUUGGGGCCUCCCACAAUUGCUUAGGCUGCCUUUGAACUCGCAAUCCUCCUGCCUCGGCCUCCUGACUUGGUGGUAUUAUAGGCAAAAGCCAAUCUUAAGGCACAACUCUAACAGCUGUUUUAGAUUUCUCAUAACAAUUACCAUUUUAUCCUGUUUGGUACAAUUAUCUGUGUCAGGUCUCAUUUGAGUUUAAGUGGUAGUGAUAAGAUUCUAAUCCCAGAACUCUGACCUCAGACCUGUUUCUAACCACUAUACUCAAUCUCAGUAGUCUCUGAAGAUCUCUGAGGGAUCCUAUCUCAUCUCCUCUGCCCCUUAGCACUCAACGGUGCUUUUUGCAAAUCCUUCCAGCAAACCCUGACCUAUACCAGGUACUAAGCAAAUAUUAAGGUUGGAGAAACAGCCUGUCUUCUUAUUUAUGACUUGAUCAACCUCAGGAUUGUACCCAGAAUCUCACAUCCUCAUGAAUGGUCCAUUUCCUGUCUACAAAGGUAUCUUUUCUUCCUUUAAAAUAAAACUUUAAAUCAGGUGUGGUGGCACACACCUGUGAUCCCAGCGACUUGGGGGGCUGAGGCAGGAAGAUAGCAAGUUAGCAAAUGGUUGGAAUGUAGCUUAGUGGCACAGCACCCCAGAGUUCAAUUCCUAGUACCAGAAAAACAAGAAUCAAUUCUGCUGACUUCCUGAUUCGGGGAGAAGACCUCUCACACAUUAGACAAAUGCUGUUCACUUUUGUUCCUUUCUGAUCAGUGAUUUUUUUGGUUGGGGGGCAGUACUGGAGAUUGAACACAGGGAUUUCAACACUGAUCUGCACUCCUAGCUCUUUUUAUAUUUUCUCAUUAAGUUCUCUUUAUUUUAUUUAUUUUUAA